AGGAUUCCCUAGUAACUGCGAGUGAAGCGGGAAAAGCUCAAAUUUAAAAUCUGGCGGUCUCUGGCCGUCCGAGUUGUAAUCUAGAGAAGUAAUGCCCGUGCUGGACCGUGUAUAAGUCUCCUGGGAUGGGGCGUCAUAGAGGGUGAGAAUCCCGUCUUUGACACGGACUACCAGUGCAUUGUGGUAUGCUCUCAAAGAGUCGAGUUGUUUGGGAAUGCAGCUCAAAAUGGGUGGUAAAUUCCAUCUAAAGCUAAAUAUUGGCGAGAGACCGAUAGCGAACAAGUACCGUGAGGGAAAGAUGAAAAGAACUUUGGAAAGAGAGUUAAACAGUACGUGAAAUUGCUGAAAGGGAAACGCUUGAAGUCAGUCGCGUUGGCCAGGGAUCAGCCUUGCUUUUUGCAUGGUGUACUUUCUGGUUGACGGGUCAGCAUCAAUUUUGACCGCUGGAAAAGGGCCUGGGGAAUGUGGCAGCUUCGGCUGUGUUAUAGCCCCUGGUCGCAUACAGUGGUUGGGAUUGAGGAACUCAGCACGCCGCAAGGCCGGGUUUCGACCACGUUCGUGCUUAGGAUGCUGGCAUAAUGGCUUUAAGCGACCCGUCUUGAAACACGGACCAAGGAGUCUAACAUGCUUGCGAGUAUUUGGGUGGAAAACCCGAGUGCGCAAUGAAAGUGAAAGUUGAGAUCCCUGUCGUGGGGAGCAUCGACGCCCGGACCAGAACUUUUGGGACGGAUCCGCGGUGGAGCAUGUAUGUUGGGACCCGAAAGAUGGUGAACUAUGCCUGAAUAGGGUGAAGCCAGAGGAAACUCUGGUGGAGGCUCGUAGCGAUUCUGACGUGCAAAUCGAUCGUCAAAUUUGGGUAUAGGGGCGAAA
rnacentral:rRNA from 1 species